CUGGGCAAUCAUGAAGUCAAGAUAGGUACAGUGGGCAACCACAUUGGUUUAGUGAGUCAACACCCUCUUAUUGUAAUCUAACUCAGAAUGAAUACAAGAGCAACUUACAUUAGGAAUGAAUAUAUUUCCAUGCAUGUCAGGGAAAGUAUCAUCAAACGGGUCAACCAGAAGCAGUCCUUCUGAUAUAUUGUACUUGAGAUCUUUGGAGAAACUGAAAUGAUUAUCAGAUGGCCAAUGAACUCCUCGUUUCCUGACAUACAGAACAAAUGCUGCUCACAGAAUUGUGCAUAUGACAGUCAACUGAUCCUGCAAGCCAUUGAACAAUAUAGAAGGAAAACAAAUCAAUAUAAUAUUAGUGAGUGCCUAUCAGAUUUUUUAUUAGAGUUAAAAAAUCCUACUUUACUCUGCUAUAGUGCACUCAGCACAAGAUGUUGUCUGAUAGUUCAACCAGGAAAUCAGCUGAC
rnacentral:lncRNA from 1 species